rnacentral:ncRNA from 1 species
AUUUUUCUAUCUAUUUUUGAUGGAGGUUUAUGCAUCCAUCCUUAAAUCGGGUUAAAAUUCCUAAACUAGGACAUGGCAGUCGAUGACAACGUUAAAAGGUCCAUAGAAGUCAGCGGGAACCUCGGGAAGAGUUAUCUUUUCUGUUUAAUAGCCUGGCCACCCUAGAAUAGUCUCAACCAGAUAUAAGGUCCAGUGGUUGGAAGAGAAACGCAUGUCACUUUCUAUCCAAUGCACUGCCUGCAGCCAUUGAAAAUUUGGAGGACCGAAUAUUAUCCUUGCUCAGUCAUACUCGUAACCUCAUCAGGU